GACGAACGCUGACGGCGUGCUUAACACAUGCAAGUCGAAGGGAGUGGCGAACGGGUGAGUAACACGUGAGUAACCUGCCCUGUUCUUUGGGAUAAGACUGGGAAACUGGGUCUAAUACUGGCUGGAUUGGGCUGGGCUCGCGGCUUAUCAGCUUGUGGGUGGGGGGAUGCGUUCCCAAGGCUUUGACGGGUAGCCGGCCUGAGAGGGUGGGCGGUCACACUGUGACUGAGUGACGGCCCAGACGCCUACGGGAGGGAGCAGUGGGGGAUAUUGCACAAUGGACGAAAGUCUGAUGCAGCGACGUCGUGUGGGGGAUGAAGGCCUUCGGGUUGUAAACUCCUUUCGCCCGCGGAAUGGUAGUGGGUAAAGAAGCGCCGGCUAACUACGUGCCAGCAGCCGCGGUAAUAC
rnacentral:rRNA from 1 species